UACGAACCGUACGAACGUUAUUCGGAAUCACUGGGCUUAAAGAGUGCGUAGGCGGCUUGGCAAGUUGGGUGUGAAAUCCCUCGGCUCAACCGAGGAAUGGCGCCCAAAACUGUCAAGCUUGAGGGAGGUAGAGGUAAGCGGAACUAAUGGUGGAGCGGUGAAAUGCGUUGAUAUCAUUAGGAACACCUGAGGCGAAAGCAGCUUACUGGGCCUUUUCUGACGCUGAGGCACGAAAGCUAGGGGAGCGAACGGGAUUAGAUACCCCUGUA
rnacentral:rRNA from 1 species